UCUGAUUUGAAGUGUGCAUAUUGGGACAGCUCGCUUUCUGUGGGCAACCAUCUGAAUGCUAAAAUGUCAUAAAUGGCUGUGAACAGAUCGGAUAUGAUUCGUACAUCAGGUUGCAGUAUCUACCAAAGAAUAUAUGUGAAAUCCAAGGAAUCAUUUCUGAGUUCUGAGCGAUUUGUGGUAGGGCUCAAGAUAUGUGGUUUUGGAUUAGGGUAGGAAUCAAGAUAUGUGACCUCCAAGGGAACUGCAAACUCAAGAUAUGUGGUCUUGGACUAGCAAGAUUUGCAUCCAGUGACACCCCUACAACAGUUUUCUGGAUGGAGCAGGACCAUGUCGCCACCUGAUGGUAUAGAGC